UCGUCAGGUAGGCUAACCCUUACCUGUUCCUCCAUUCAGGGGGCAGAUAGUACACACGACUAGAGUCCACAUGAUUCAUGAUUAACGUCUCUGCGUGAUUGGGGCUCUCAGCACCCUAGUCGCUCCUGUCUGAU
rnacentral:snoRNA from 1 species